GAGUUUGAUCGUGGCUCAGAUUGAACGCUGGCGGCAUGCCUUACACAUGCAAGUCGAACGGUAGCAUGAUCUAGCUUGCUAGAUUGAUGGCGAGUGGCGAACGGGUGAGUAAUACAUCGGAACGUGCCCUGUAGUGGGGGAUAACUAGUCGAAAGAUUAGCUAAUACCGCAUACGACCUGAGGGUGAAAGUGGGGGACCGCAAGGCCUCAUGCUAUAGGAGCGGCCGAUGUCUGAUUAGCUAGUUGGUGGGUAAAGGCCCACCAAGGCGACGAUCAGUAGCUGGUCUGAGAGGACGAUCAGCCACACUGGGACUGAGACACGGCCCAGACUCCUACGGGAGGCAGCAGUGGGGAAUUUUGGACAAUGGGCGAAAGCCUGAUCCAGCAAUGCCGCGUGUGUGAAGAAGG
rnacentral:rRNA from 1 species